rnacentral:rRNA from 1 species
CAAUAGCGUAUAUUUAAGUUGUUGCAGUUAAAAAGCUCGUAGUUGGAUUUCUGCUGAUCGCUGUCGGUCUGCCGUCAGGUGUGUACCGGCAGUGUUUGGCAUCUAUUCGAGAUUGGGUGUCCACUUGAUUGUGUGCACUCGAUGUCGGAGCUAAUACUUUGAGAAAAUUAGAGUGUUCCACGCAGGCGCGUGCCUUGAAUACUGCAGCAUGGGAUAUUGGAAGGCCGAUUGAGCUUUCUUGUUGGUUCUCGGUUUGAUCGGAAUGAUUAAUAGGGAUAGUUGGGGGCAUUCGUAUUCAACUGUCAGAGGUGAAAUUCUUGGAUUUGUUGAAGACGGACUACUGCGAAAGCAUCUGCCAUGGAUGUUCUCAUUGA